UUUACAUGAUUUCAGAUUUUUGGAAAAGAUUGAUUUUGCUGUCUGUUGUUCUGGGUGUCGUUUUGCUAUUCAUUUUGAUUUUGUUUGCUUCGUACGUGAAUGGAGUUUUGAUCGGUGAAGUGGUACCCAUUUCUGAUGAAUUUUUUGUCCCUUUCGAUGUUACUGGAAAUUUAGUUUAGUAAGAGGAAAUGGAGAAGAUGGUAACAAAGUGAUCACAUAGCGGAGUGGAUAUCGCGUUAGACUCCGAAUCUAAAGGUCGUGGGUUCGAUUCCCACUGUGAUCACUACUUUUUUUAUGUUUCAUAUUUUGUUUUUGGUUUUGGAAAUUGAUUGCCUAAUUAUCUGAAUUUACAUAGAUUUAGCUCCUGUUUGGCCAUAGAUUUUCAACUUUGUUUUUGAAAACAUUGUUUGUUCAUGAAAUUUGGUCAGUUUUUGAAAAGGAGGCCCAAUGUUUCUUUUGAAGUUUCAACUAAAUUUAUGGCUAAACGCUAGCUUAGUUAGAUUCUUGCAGAAACCUUGCUUUUGUUAUCUGUUCUUUUGUCCUUUUCAAUGUUAGUGGAAUAGUAAUACUGAAAUGUAUAAGGGAAUGGAGAAGAUGGUAACAAGUGAUCUCACAGCGGAGUGGAUAUUGUGUUAGACUCACGAUCUAAAGUUUGUGGUUUUGUAUCCCACCGGGAUCGCUUCAUGCCUUCCUUUGCACCUGUUUUGUUUUACUUGGUUUCAUAUUUUUGUGUCACGAUCUAAAGUUUGUGGGUUUGUUUUUCUUGGUUUCAUUAAGCUUGAGGUAAUUGGUUUGAGACUGUUACUAGCUGCCUCCACUGCAUAUGCAUAAUAGUUAUGAACUUGGUGCAACUGCUAUGUAAUUUUCAUCUUGAUUGGGGGCGUUUUACUAAAUGACAUGGGUAAAGUAUGCGACCAAGGUAUUUCUAUUGCAAAUGCAGGUUGGUUUUCACUUGAUUGAUGGUUUUAUUCCUAUAAUCAUUGCCUCGGCAUGAUAUAUGUUUAUGGAGUGAAAUAAGAGGCUAAGUUUUCCUUUUUUUUGAUUUAUUGGUUUAGCGUUUGUUUGUGUUACAUGUUGCAACAGUCUUACUUUAUCUGGGGGGGGGGGGGUACAUGAAAAUCUCAAGGGUGUUACUUGAGUAUUUGUAGGAAUAGGAACAACUUCACCUCAACAUUUUCAGUAAGUAUGUUUACCAUGAUCCUGGGUUUGUGAAUUUGAUUUAAUCAUUCCCCACAGAAGUGUUGGGCUGUUACAGUUGGAUUGACGUCUGAUUGUGGAAGAUGCAUCAGAUAAUGGAUGAUCAAGAUUUAGGAUUCUUUGCCAACUUUCUUGGCAUCUUUAUUUUCGUAUUUGUUAUUGCUUAUCAUUAUGUAGUGGCUGAUCCGAAGUACUUGGGCAACUAACUGAUGCCGAUCAUCCAUAGUGAGUAGCUUUUAAU